CACUCCUACGGGAGGCAGCAGUGGGGAAUUUUGGACAAUGGGCGAAAGCCUGAUCCAGCCAUGCCGCGUGCAGGAUGAAGGCCUUCGGGUUGUAAACUGCUUUUGUACGGAACGAAACGGCCUUUUCUAAUAAAGAGGGCUAAUGACGGUACCGUAAGAAUAAGCACCGGCUAACUACGUGCCAGCAGCCGCGGUAAUACGUAGGGUGCAAGCGUUAAUCGGAAUUACUGGGCGUAAAGCGUGCGCAGGCGGUUAUGUAAGACAGUUGUGAAAUCCCCGGGCUCAACCUGGGAACUGCAUCUGUGACUGCAUAGCUAGAGUACGGUAGAGGGGGAUGGAAUUCCGCGUGUAGCAGUGAAAUGCGUAGAUAUGCGGAGGAACACCGAUGGCGAAGGCAAUCCCCUGGACCUGUACUGACGCUCAUGCACGAAAGCGUGGGGAGCAAACAGGAUUAGAAACCCCUGUAGUCCC
rnacentral:rRNA from 1 species